rnacentral:rRNA from 1 species
UACGGAGGGAGCUAGCGUUGUUCGGAAUUACUGGGCGUAAAGCGUGCGCAGGCGGUGAUGUAAGACCGAUGUGAAAUCCCCGGGCUCAACCUGGGAACUGCGUUGGAAACUACGAGGCUGGAGUACGGCAGAGGGGGGUGGAAUUCCACGUGUAGCAGUGAAAUGCGUAGAUAUCAGGAGGAACACCGAUGGCGAAGGCAGGUCUCUGGGCUGACACUGACGCUCAUGCACGAAAGCGUGGGGAGCAAACAGG